GACGAACGCUGGCGGCGUGCCUAAUACAUGCAAGUCGAGCGAAUGGAUUAAGAGCUUGCUCUUAUGAAGUUAGCGGCGGACGGGUGAGUAACACGUGGGUAACCUGCCCAUAAGACUGGGAUAACUCCGGGAACCCGGGGCUAAUACCGGAUAACAUUUUGAACCGCAUGGUUCGAAAUUGAAAGGCGGCUUCGGCUGUCACUUAUGGAUGGACCCGCGUCGCAUUAGCUAGUUGGUGAGGUAACGGCUCACCAAGGCAACGAUGCGUAGCCGACCUGAGAGGGUGGUCGGCCACACUGGGACUGAGACACGGCCCAGACUCCUACGGGAGGCAGCAGUAGGGAAUCUUCCGCAAUGGACGAAAGUCUGACGGAGCAACGCCGCGUGAGUGAUGAAGGCUUUCGGGUCGUAAAACUCUGUUGUUAGGGAAGAACAAGUGCUAGUUGAAUAAGCAGGCACCUUGACGGUACCUAACCAGAAAGCCACGGCUAACUACGUGCCAGCCGCCGCGGUAA
rnacentral:rRNA from 1 species